AGAUUGUGCACAUAAUAUGGUCAGAAAUACCAAAUCUUUACUGUAUUCUUUCUGUCUGCUCACUUCUGUGCCAGGUGACUGACAGAUGCAUGCACGACUCUGUCCCUGCUGUUGGCAAACUCCAAAUAGAGCUGGGAGAGCAGAGAAUCUUCUGAGAGGUCCUUUCUGGGAGAGGAAUAAUCAAACAACUCGAAAUUCAAGGAAUACAAAAGAAUUACACAAAAUCAAGCCCACCUUGGCUCAGAUUCUAGUAUAUGCAGGGAUCAGAACUGUCCAGAAUGCGUGCUGACACUCUUCCUUCUGAUCAUCACUAAUCAACCUCAGUAUCAUCUCCAACUGAGCCCAAGUCAGACCUCGGACUUCCUCUCGACACAGAGCCUGGAUGGCACCAUUCACUGGAGUCAGCUCAUGAGAGGUAACUUAUUUGCCAUCUCUGUUUUAAAGACUCAGUAUCAUACUACCAUCACCCUACA
rnacentral:lncRNA from 1 species